rnacentral:lncRNA from 1 species
GGUGGGGUGGAGUCGGUCGGUUGGUUGGGGUGUUCCUCAAGAUUGGUUUUAUUAAUUUGCCACGUAUUGGAUGAUGAUUUUGAAUCUGUUGGAUGUUUUCUGUUGGUGAAGUGAUCAAGCGAGUCGAAUGAUAGAAGUUAUUAAAAGAAAUUAUAAGUUUCGUACACGUUUCCGCAACAGAUGUUGGGGAUAAGGAAACUUAAUUAACAUGUAUAAGCCAGUUA